UUCUAUUAAAUGGUUGUUGACGUGCUUUCCCCAAGGGACAAACUUGACAAAACUUCAUCUUGUUUCCCUGUUUAUCCUGAAUUUGUAAUUCUGGUUCAGUUUUCUUCAACACAGCUUUUGAUGGAUGCCCUAAUCUGUCAUGUCACCUAUCCUUUGUAAUCUUUAUCCCAUAGCAAGCUUUAUCAUCUGGAUAGAUGUGAUAGAGGCCUUCUGAGCUACUGCCAGAAAACAAUAUCUCCAUAGUGACCUGGUCCUUGAUAAAAAAAAUUUAUCAUUAAAAAUAAUCAAGCAAUUUAGGUCUCUAGAUAACUUUUGAAUAGACAUAAGGUUCUUCUUUAACCCUGGUACACAUAAAACUCCUUCUAAAUUGUAAUCUUUUCCUUUAAAUUUCAAUGUUACUCUACCUCUAUAUUUAACAGGUAAGUAAUCUCCACUUCCAACUAUUACAUAUUAUGUACCUGGAGCUGUUUCAUAGGUUGUGAAGGCAGUUAGGUCUGGUGUCAUAUGACUGGAUGCUCCUGAAUCAAGGCACCAUGCAUGCUGAAUCAUCCAAUGUAGUGGCUGCUGACAUUGCCAUUUCAGAAGGUGGAAUUUGUUGGUAAUUUUCUGUGUAUGCUGGAAUUGUUGGUUGUUGGAUUGCUGCAUAGGUUGGAUAUGUAUAUUCUGUUGUGUAUGCUGGUGUUGGUGGAGGUAAAUGUGGUUGUAUAUUAGUUGUACUAGUAUUCAGUGCUGAGAAACUAUUGUAAUUUGGGUACUGUUUAGCUAGAUGACCUUUCUUGUGACAUAUCUGACAACUUUGUGAUUGAUCAAUGGAAGAGGUGUUUUGAAUAUUGGUGGUAAUUGAGGUUAUUGUUGUUAUUGUUAUGGUGGUGGUGGUAUCAUGUUAGCUCUUGGGUAUUGGUGAUAAUUUUGUUGUUAUUGAUUAGAGUAAAAUGGUCUGUAAUUAGGGUGUGAAUUGUAUUUAGGUCUAUAGUUGUAAUUUGAUCUGUAGUUAUAGUUUGGUUGAUAAUUUUGAGGUGCUGAAUGGUAAUUUAGAUUGUGGUAGUAAUUGGGAUUGGGAUUAUAGUUAUAAUUGUAAUUUGUGUUAUUCCCUCUAUAGUUAGGUGAAUAACCUCUAUAGUUAGGAUUGUUUCCUCUAUAGUUAGGAUUGUUUCCUCUAUAGUUAGGACUGUGGCCUCUAUAUCCUGUAUUUGCAGCCAUAACCACUGUGACUUUAGAUUGGCUGUCCUCCUCUAUUCUUUUUACCAACAAUUCUUCACCAAGCAACAUAUCUGCUAAUUCAUCAAAUGUAGGCACUUGUGCUUUAUUUCUUACUGUUGUCAGUAAGCAUCUAUACUUAAACCUCAAGCCACCUAAUAUGUAAUCCCUCAAGCACUUAUUACUUAAAGUUUCUCCUGUAGCAUCUAGGGAUUCGACCAAUCCCUUUACCCUCACAAUGUAUUCUUGCAUUGUCUCUGUGGUGACUUUCUUCAAUGUCCUUAACUGUUCUUUUAUCACUGUUACUUGAGUGUUACUAGUUGGUGAUAGUAAUUUUUCCAAACUUGUCCACCCAUCAUAUGCAAACUUACAUUUUUGAAGCAUUAAUUGGUAUUGAUUAUUUACUGUUGCCUUAAUCCAACCCAGAACUAGAUCAUCAUUAGCUACCCAUUCCUCAUAUGCAGGAUUAAUCAUAUCAUUUUCUCCUCUAGGAGCUGGGCAAGAACUAGUUCCAUUCACAUAUUUCAUAAACUUGUGUGCUCUCAAUGCACAUUCAAAUUGAUUUCUUCAUGUUAAAUAAUUUCCUCUUUCUAAUCUACGAGGAACCGUACUGAAAAUGUUGUAAGAAACAUGUCCCAUGUAUGUUUGCUGGGGAGUAGUUAUUGAUGUAGAUGUAGCCAUUUUACCUUUAAGAUAAUUGAGUAAAAAUAAUGUUUAGUAAACCUAAUGAGAAUCCCAUAACUAAAUCAACCUAGACUGAUACCAUGUGAAAAAUUGAAUUUAUAAGGUAUUUAUGUAAUUCAGUUCAGACUAAGGAUGAAUGAAAACAACUAAUUCAGUUAUCUGAAUUUUAUUACAGAAUUCUAAUUAUUCUUGGGGGAAAUCGAAUUGAAUUCAGUAAAAUUGAAUUUCACUAUAGAAUUUUAUGCACAGGAAGAUAGACAAAAUAGAAUAGAAGUCUUCUAGGGAGUUUCAAAUCUAUUCAGAUUUCAAUGAAAUCCAAGAAUAUUCUGCAUUGGGUAAAAUUCAGCAAUAUUCUGACUUAAGAUGAACGAUUGAAUUUAUAAGAAGAAAGAACUGAAUUGAAAUGUGUAAUUGAAUUAUAAGAAAGAAAGUACGGGACAGGACAGGACAUGACGGAAUUAAAAUAAAUGGAAUUGAACAAUUGAAUUAAGUGAGAACUAAUAGAAGUGAAAUGAGUAAUUGAAUUAAAAGAUAGAAAGGAAAACAUGACAGAAUUAAAAUGAAUGGAAUUGAACAAUUGAGUUAAAUGAAAGAAAGAGAUUUAGAACAACAAAUUUACUAUUUUAACAGAGUCAAGAAUCAAACAAUAGAACAAUUAGUUUGGUAUUACUAAAUUGAUAUUUGAUAAACAAAGAAAAUACAGAAAAAAAAUUGUGAGGAAAGAAAAACUUACAAUGGAAUAACAAUACAGAAAAACAGAUGACCGAAACAGGUUAGAACCAUGGAAGAUAGAUAACAUAACAUAAACCCCAAAAUAUAGACGACCGAAAGAGGUUAGAAAGCUUACCUAUGACCGUCUUCGAACACUGCUGAACAACAGGAUAUAGAAACAACUACGGAUACUAGAAACACUUCAAAAAUACAAUAGGUAGAAUAGUAGAAAAGAUACGAUUAAGAUUAAGAAAAGUAAUGGGACUGAGAAGUAGAAAACAAAGCGAAGGAGGAGUUGAGAAUGAGAAGUGGGUUAGAAUGAAGGAGGAAGACGGAUGGAGAUGAUUGAAAUAAUC
rnacentral:lncRNA from 1 species